rnacentral:lncRNA from 1 species
AUCUGAGCCCCCAACACCUAUUUGGGAGCAGCGUUUAAAAAACCAGUGAGCACCUACCAAGAUUCAGUACAAAAUCCAUGUACUCACCUGGUAAUCGCUUACAUGCUCUCAGUAAGCGAUUACAAAACCUAAUUGCAUGUGGAAAUGACACACCACUUGAAAUGAAUCAACACUUGUACUCUUGCCACCUAAUUCCAUCCAUCUUAGCCCCCAACACCCAUUUGGGAGCAUCGUUUAAAAAACCAGGGAGCACCAACCAAGAUUCAGUACAAAAUCCAUGUACUCACCUGGUAAUCGCUUACAUGGUCUCAGUAAGCGAUUACAAAACCUAAUUGCAUGUGGAAAUGACACACCACUUGAAAUCAAUCAACACUUGUACUCAGGGACCCUGUAAUUGCAUCGAUCUUAGCCCCCAACACCCAUUUGGGAGCAGCGUUUAAAAAACUAGGGAGCACCUGACAAGAUUCAGUACAGAAUCCAUGUACUCACCUGGUAAUCGCUUACAUGCUGUCUGUAAGCGAUUACAAAACCUUUUUUGUUGUGGAAAUGACACAGCACUUGAAGAGCAUAACUUCACUUGUACUCUUGCCACCUAAUUCCAUCCAUCUUAGCCCCCAACACCCAUUUGGGAGCACCGUUUAAAAAACCAGGGAGCACCUACCAACAUUCAGUACAGAAUCCAUGUACUCACCUGGUAAUCGCUUACAUGCUCUCAGUAAGCGAUUACAAAACCUAAUUGCAUGUGGAAAUGACAC